AACGAACGCUGGCGGCAGGCUUAACACAUGCAGGUCGAACGCGUGUAGCAAUACACGAGUGGCGCACGGGUGAGUAACGCGUGGAUAUCUGCCUUUUGGUUCGGAAUAACCCCGGGAAACUGGGGCUAAUACCGGAUGGUUCCUUCGGGAUAAAGAUUUAUCGCCAAAAGAUGAGUCCGCGUACGAUUAGCUAGUUGGUGAGGUAAUGGCUCACCAAGGCGACGAUCGUUAGCUGGUCUGAGAGGACGAUCAGCCACACUGGGACUGAGACACGGCCCAGACUCCUACGGGAGGCAGCAGUGGGGAAUAUUGGACAAUGGGGGCAACCCUGAUCCAGCCAUGCCGCGUGAGUGAUGAAGGCCUUCGGGUUGUAAAGCUCUUUUGGCGGGGACGAUGAUGACGGUACCCGCAGAAUAAGCCCCGGCUAACUUCGUGCCAGCAGCCGCGGUAAGAC
rnacentral:rRNA from 1 species